CUUAUGGGAAAUGCUCUCCCCUCUCAAAACUACCUCCUCCAACCAAAAUUUGGUUUGGAGCGACCAUUCCCAGGAACUCCAAUCUCCAACUCUGAAAAUAUCUACUUGUGCCCCAAGCAUUCUACAUAUAACUCAAAAUACUGAGCAGGAACUUCAUUCUCCAACAAUGAAAGUCAUUACAUACCCACAGACUACUAUUAGGAGAUAUAUAGUACAAAAUCCUGAACAGG